rfam:Lysinibacillus sphaericus OT4b.31 genomic scaffold Ls31_scaffold33, whole genome shotgun sequence.
GGCGGCGUAGCUCAGCUGGCUAGAGCAUUCGGUUCAUACCCGAAAGGUCGUGGGUUCGACUCCCUCUGCCGCCA